UACGGGGGGAGCAAGCGUUGUUCGGAUUUACUGGGCGUAAAGGGCGCGUAGGCGGCGUGACAAGUCACUUGUGAAAUCUCCGGGCUUAACUCGGAACGGUCAAGUGAUACUGUCGUGCUAGAGUACAGAAGGGGCAACUGGAAUUCUCGGUGUAGCGGUGAAAUGCGUAGAUAUCGAGAGGAACACCUGUGGCGAAAGCGGCGCACUGGACCACAACUGACGCUGAGGCGCGAAAGCUAGGGGAGCAAACAGG
rnacentral:rRNA from 1 species